GGAUGCGAUCAUACCAGC
rnacentral:ncRNA from 2 species